GCAAGUCGAGUGCGCGGUUGUAGCAAUACAACUGGCGCACGGCGCACGGGUGCGUAACACGUGGGUAACCUGCCCUUUGGUGGGGAAUAACUCCGCGAAAGCGGAGCUAAUUCCGCAUAAGAUCCGCAAGGAUGAAAGCCGCAAGGCGCCGAAGGAGGGGCCCGCGCCCGAUUAGCUAGUUGGUAGGGUAACGGCCUACCAAGGCUUUGAUCGGUAGCUGGUCUGAGAGGAUGAUCAGCCACACUGGAACUGAGACACGGUCCAGACUCCUACGGGAGGCAGCAGUGGGGAAUCUUGCACAAUGGGCGAAAGCCUGAUGCAGCGACGCCGCGUGGGGGAUGAAGCAUUUCGGUGUGUAAACCCCUUUCGAUCCGGACGAAACCCCGCAAGGGAUUGACGGUACGGAUAUAAGAAGCCCCGGCUAACUACGUGCCAGCAGCCGCGGUAAGACGUAGGGGGCCAGCGUUGUUCGGAAUUACUGGGUGUAAAGGGUUCGUAGGCGGUGCGGCAAGUUGGGAGUGAAAUCUCUGGGCUUAACCCAGAGGCUGCUUCCAAAACUGCUGUGCUUGAGUGUGGGAGAGGCGCGUGGAAUUGCAGGUGUAGCGGUGAAAUGCGUAGAUAUCUGCAGGAACACCCGUGGCGAAAGCGGCGCGCUGGACCACUACUGACGCUGAGGAACGAAAGCUAGGGGAGCAAACAGGAUUAGAUACCCUGGUAGUCCUAGCCCUAAACGAUCAGGACUUGGGGUGCCACCCGUUCGGGUGUCGUCCCGGAGCUAACGCGUUAAGUCCUGCACCUGGGGAGUACGGUCGCAAGACUGAAACUCAAAGGAAUUGACGGGGGCCCGCACAAGCGGUGGAACAU
rnacentral:rRNA from 1 species